CCAGAAUUGGCAGUCAUGUGUGCAUGAGGUGUGCUUGCUUGUGUGAAUGAAUGGCAUGUCCGUCUCGUUUUCUGACGAAGACUGUGGCUGAAAGAUUACGUUGUAACCACGGGAAACACAACAAACCAUGCUGUGACCAUCAAAACCAUAAAACAAUCUUUACCUGCUUCACAGUUGGAAGCAGACAGUCUGGAUGGUAUGCUACUACUCAUGUUUUCAAAAUUAAACGGGGAAGAAAACUGCUGAUGCAUCACCUAUGAAAGCCAAAAAUAAGUUCUGAAAAUGGUGUGUCUGUAUGAUUUUGUCCAGUCCACAUAUGUCACUGCCGUAAGUAACUACA